rnacentral:rRNA from 1 species
UGAGCAAUCUGCCCUUCUCAUCGGAAUAACCAUUGGAAACGAUGGCUAAUGCCGAAUAUGACCUCGGAUCACAUGUUCUGAGGUGGAAAGCUCCGGCGGAGAAGGAUGAGCUCGCGGCCUAUCAGCUUGUUGGUGAGGUAAUGGCUCACCAAGGCAUUGACGGGUAGCCGGCCUGAGAGGGUGACCGGCCACACUGGGACUGAGACACCGGCAGA